GUCCACGCCGUAAACGAUGUUCACUAGGUGUUGGGGGUAUUGACCCCCUCAGUGCCGGAGCUAACGCAUUAAGUGAACCGCCUGGGGAGUACGGUCGCAAGACUAAAACUCAAAGGAAUUGACGGGGGCCCGCACAAGCGGUGGAGCAUGUGGUUUAAUUCGAUGCAACGCGAAGAACCUUACCUGGGCUUGACAUCCACGGAACCUGCUGGAAACAGCGGGGUGCCCUUCGGGGAGCCGUGAGACAGGUGCUGCAUGGCUGUCGU
rnacentral:rRNA from 1 species